UACAGAGGUGGCAAGCGUUGUUCGGAAUUACUGGGCGUAAAGGGCGCGUAGGCGGCCUUCUAAGUCAGACGUGAAAUCCCCCGGCUUAACCUGGGAACUGCGUCUGAUACUGGAAGGCUUGAGUGCGGGAGAGGGAUGUGGAAUUCCAGGUGUAGCGGUGAAAUGCGUAGAUAUCUGGAGGAACACCGGUGGCGAAGGCGGCAUCCUGGACCGACACUGACGCUGAGGCGCGAAGGCCAGGGGAGCAAACGGG
rnacentral:rRNA from 1 species